AGAUUGAACGCUGGCGGCAGGCCUAACACAUGCAAGUCGAGCGGCAGCGGGAAGUAGUUUACUACUUUGCCGGCGAGCGGCGGACGGGUGAGUAAUGUCUGGGAAACUGCCUGAUGGAGGGGGAUAACUACUGGAAACGGUAGCUAAUACCGCAUAACGUCUUCGGACCAAAGUGGGGGACCUUCGGGCCUCACGCCAUCGGAUGUGCCCAGAUGGGAUUAGCUAGUAGGUGGGGUAAUGGCUCACCUAGGCGACGAUCCCUAGCUGGUCUGAGAGGAUGACCAGCCACACUGGAACUGAGACACGGUCCAGACUCCUACGGGAGGCAGCAGUGGGGAAUAUUGCACAAUGGGCGCAAGCCUGAUGCAGCCAUGCCGCGUGUGUGAAGAAGGCCUUCGGGUUGUAAAGCACUUUCAGCGAGGAGGAAGGCCAAUAACUUAAUACGUUGUUGGAUUGACGUUACUCGCAGAAGAAGCACCGGCUAACUCCGUGCCAGCAGCCGCGGUAAUACGGAGGGUGCAAGCGUUAAUCG
rnacentral:rRNA from 5 species